rnacentral:rRNA from 1 species
GACGAACGCUGGCGGCGGGCUUAACACAUGCAAGUCGAACGGAAGGGCCCUGCUUUUGUGGGGUGCUCGAGUGGCGAACGGGUGAGUAACACGGGAGUAACCUGCCCUGGACGUUGUGAUAACUUCAGGAAACUGGUGCUAAUACCGGAUAGGAGCGCCUGCUGCAUGGUGGUGGUUGGAAAGUUUCGGCGGUUGGGGAUGGACUCGCGGCUUAUCAGCUUGUUGGUGGGGUAGUGGCUUACCAAGGCUUUGACGGGUAGCCGGCCUGAGAGGGUGACCGGCCACAUUGGGACUGAGAUACGGCCCAGACUCCUACGGGAGGCAGCAGUGGGGAAUAUUGCACAAUGGGCGGAAGCCUGAUGCAGCAACGCCGCGUGCGGGAUGACGGCCUUCGGGUUGUAAACCGCUUUAGCCUGUGACGAAGCGUGAGUGACGGUAAUGGGUAAAGAAGCACCGGCUAACUACGUG